rnacentral:rRNA from 1 species
GGCGAACGCUGGCGGCGUGCUUAACACAUGCAAGUCGAACGGAAAGACCCUGCUUUUGUUGGGUUCUCGAUUGGCGAACGGGUGAGUAACACGUGAGUAACCUGCCCUUGACUUUGGGAUAACUUCAGGAAACUGGGGCUAAUACCGGAUAGGAGCUCCUGCUGCAUGGUGGGGGUUGGAAAGUUUCGGCGGUUGGGGAUGGACUCGCGGCUUAUCAGCUUGUUUGUGGGGUAGUGGCUUACCAAGGCUUUGACGGGUAGCCGGCCUGAGAGGGUGACCGGCCACAUUGGGACUGAGAUACGGCCCAGACUCCUACGGGAGGCAGCAGUGGGGAAUAUUGCACAAUGGGCGGAAGCCUGAUGCAGAAACGCCGCGUGCGGGAUGACGGCCUUCGGGUUGUAAACCGCUUUCGAAUGUGACGAAGCGUGAGUGACGGUAAUGGGUAAAGAAGCAACGGCUAACUACGUG